rnacentral:rRNA from 1 species
ACAUCCAGAGAACUUAGCAGAGAUGCUUUGGUGCCUUCGGGGAACUCUGAGACAGGUGCUGCAUGGCUGUCGUCAGCUCGUGUUGUGAAAUGUUGGGUUAAGUCCCGNAACGAGCGCAACCCUUAUCCUUUGUUGCCAGCGGUUCGGCCGGGAACUCAAAGGAGACUGCCGGUGAUAAACCGGAGGAAGGUGGGGAUGACGUCAAGUCAUCAUGGCCCUUACGGCCAGGGCUACACACGUGCUACAAUGGCGCAUACAAAGAGAAGCGACCUCGCGAGAGCAAGCGGACCUCAUAAAGUGCGUCGUAGUCCGGAUUGGAGUCUGCAACUCGACUCCAUGAAGUCGGAAUCGCUAGUAAUCGUAGAUUCAGAAUGCUACGGUGAAUACGUUCCCGGGCCUUGUACACACCGCCCGUCACACCAUGGGAGUGGGUUGCAAAAGAAGUAGGUAGCUUAACCUUCGGGAGGGCGCUUACCACUUUGUGAUUCAUGACUGGGGUGAAGUCGUAACAAGGUAAGCGUAGCGAG